rnacentral:rRNA from 1 species
GACGAACGCUGGCGGCGUGCCUAAUACAUGCAAGUUGAGCGAUGAAGAUUGGUGCUUGCACCAAUUUGAAGAGCAGCGAACGGGUGAGUAACGCGUGGGGAAUCUGCCUUUGAGCGGGGGACAACAUUUGGAAACGAAUGCUAAUACCGCAUAACAACUUUAAACAUAAGUUUUAAGUUUGAAAGAUGCAAUUGCAUCACUCAAAGAUGAUCCCGCGUUGUAUUAGCUAGUUGGUGAGGUAAAGGCUCACCAAGGCGAUGAUACAUAGCCGACCUGAGAGGGUGAUCGGCCACAUUGGGACUGAGACACGGCCCAAACUCCUACGGGAGGCAGCAGUAGGGAAGCUUCGGCAAUGGACGAAAGUCUGACCGAGCAACGCCGCGUGAGUGAAGAAGGUUUUCGGAUCGUAAAACUCUGUUGGUAGAGAAGAACGUUGGUGAGAGUGGAAAGCUCAUCAAGUGACGGUAACUACCCAGAAAGGGACGGCUAACUACGUG